rnacentral:pre_miRNA from 1 species
CCCUGUUUGUGUUCUUCCACGGCUUUCUUGAACUGCAUGGUUAUUAUUGGAGAGAUGUGAGGAAAUGAGAUGAGAUGACCCAUCUUCUCUUUUUCCCCUUUUUUUUCUUGUCCUCUUCUUUUCGUGCGGUUCAAUAAAGCUGUGGGAAGAUACAGAGAGG